UACGAAGGGUGCAAGCGUUACUCGGAAUUACUGGGCGUAAAGCGUGCGUAGGUGGUUGUUUAAGUCUGUUGUGAAAGCCCUGGGCUCAACCUGGGAACUGCAGUGGAAACUGGACAACUAGAGUGUGGUAGAGGGUAGCGGAAUUCCCGGUGUAGCAGUGAAAUGCGUAGAGAUCGGAAGGAACAUCCAUGGCGAAGGCAGCUACCUGGACCAACACUGACACUGAGGCACGAAAGCGUGGGGAGCAAACAGG
rnacentral:rRNA from 1 species